AGUAAUUCUAAGCAUUUCCAAGCUACUCUUUUGGCCAAACAUUUUUUCACUAUAAAAAAAAGAACAUUAGAAUCAAAUUUGCUGCACUAGAUAAUUCCUUAAAUAUAUCAGUUUAGAAAGCAAGUGUCCUUAUGCUACUGAUUACAUGCGUGAAAACUAAAUGCAACACUACUCCAUCAUCGUGCUUCAAUGUAAUGUAGUAUUUUUGGGAAAGCUCAUCGAAGAGAUUUUCAAAUCGCGAUCCUGAACAGUAGUAGAGAUAACAUCAAGUCGCGUUCGAAGUUCAGAUCCAGGAGUCCAUCCUCAUCCUCCUCAUGUAGUAUUUUUGGGAAAGCUCAUCGAAGAGAUUUUCAAAUCGCGAUCCUGAACAGUAGUAGAGAUAACAUCAAGUCGCGUUCGAAGUUCAGAUCCAGGAGUCCAUCAAGUAAACUAAU
rnacentral:lncRNA from 1 species